rnacentral:rRNA from 1 species
GACGAACGCUGGCGGCGUGCCUAACACAUGCAAGUCGAGCGGAGAGGCGGACGGGUGAGGAAUGCCUAGGAAUCUGCCUGGUAGUGGGGGAUAACGUCCGGAAACGGGCGCUAAUACCGCAUACUAUCAGAUGAGCCUAGGUCGGAUUAGCUAGUUGGUGGGGUAAAGGCCUACCAAGGCGACGAACCGUAACUGGUCUGAGAGGAUGAUCAGUCAAACUAGAACUGAGACACGGUCCAGCCUCCUACGGGAGGACGCAGUGGGGAAUAGUGGACAAGGGGCGAAAGCCUGCACCAGCCCUGCCGCGUGUGUGAAGAAGGUCUUCGGAUUGUAAAGCACGUUAAGUUGGGAGGCGUUACCAACAGAAUAAGCACCGGCUAACUUCGUGCCAGCAGCCGCGGUAAUUC